GGCGCUUCACACCCACCUAGAGGAGCCUGUUCUAGAACCGAUGACCCCCGUUCAACCUCACCUUCUCUUGUUCCCCCCGCCUAUAUACCGCCGUCGUCAGCCCACCCUGUGAAGGCCCAGUAGUGAGCAAAACUGGCACAGCCCAAAACGUCAGGCCGAGGUGUAGCGAAUGAGAAGGGAAGAAAUGGGCUACAAUUGCUAAAACAGCUAAAACGAAUUGUAAAGCUGAAAAUCGCAGACAUGAAGGAGGAUUUAGAAGUAAGGGGGAAAGCAGAGUGUCCCCCUGAAAUGGUUCUGAAGCGUGCACACACCGCCCGUCACUCUCCCCAAGCGGCACACAUAACAGUAACUAAAAACUUAAGCCUACAAAGGGGAGGCAAGUCGUAACAUGGUAAGUGUACCGGAAGGUGCACUUGGAAGAAAC
rnacentral:rRNA from 1 species